rnacentral:rRNA from 1 species
CUCAACUGGCGAACGGCUGAGUAACACGUGGGUGAUCUGCCCUGCACUUUGGGAUAAGCCUGGGAAACUGGGUCUAAUACCGAAUAUGACCAUGCGCGUCCUGGUGUGUGGUGGAAAGCUUUUGCGGUGUGGGAUGGGCCCGCGGCCUAUCAGCUUGUUGGUGGGGUAAUGGCCUACCAAGGCGACGACGGGUAGCCGGCCUGAGAGGGUGACCGGCCACACUGGGACUGAGAUACGGCCCAGACUCCUACGGGAGGCAGCAGUGGGGAAUAUUGCACAAUGGGCGCAAGCCUGAUGCAGCGACGCCGCGUGAGGGAUGACGGCCUUCGGGUUGUAAACCUCUUUCAGCACAGACCAAGCGCAAGUGACGGUAUGUGCAGAAGAAGGACCGGCCAACUACGUGCCAGCAGCCGCGGUAAUACGUACGGUCCCGAGCGUU